ACUACGGGAGGCAGCAGUGAGGAAUAUUGGUCAAUGGGCGCAAGCCUGAACCAGCCAAGUCGCGUGAGGGAAGACGGUCCUAUGGAUUGUAAACCUCUUUUGUCGGGGAGCAAAAGACGCCACGCGUGGCGUUCCGAGAGUACCCGAAGAAAAAGCAUCGGCUAACUCCGUGCCAGCAGCCGCGGUAAUACGGAGGAUGCGAGCGUUAUCCGGAUUUAUUGGGUUAAAAGGGUGUGCAGGCGGAAGAGCAAGUCAGCGGUAAAAUUGAGAGGCUCAACCUCUUCGAGCCGUUGAAACUGGUUUUCUUGAGUGAGCGAGAAGUAUGCGGAAUGCGUGGUGUAGCGGUGAAAUGCAUAGAUAUCACGCAGAACUCCGAUUGCGAAGGCAGCAUACCGGCGCUCAACUGACGCUCAUGCACGAAAGUGUGGGUAUCGAACAGGAUUAGAUACCCUGGUAGUC
rnacentral:rRNA from 1 species